GACAAACGCUGGCGGCGUGCAUAAAACAUGCAAGUCGAACGGGCCAAUCUCCGCAAGGAGAAAGGCUAGUGGCGAACGGCUGAGUAACACGUAGGUGACCUGCCCCGAAGUGGGGGAUAA
rnacentral:rRNA from 1 species